UGCAGGGCGAACGGGUGAGUAACACGUUGGCACCUACCUCGAACUCAGGGAUAACCCGCUGAAAAGCGGAAUAAUACCGGAUGGUCCCGCAAGGGUAAAGAUUUAUCGGUUCGAGAGGGGCCUGCGUCCUAUCAGCUAGUUGGUAAGGUAAAAGCUUACCAAGGCUAUGACGGGUAGCUGGUUUGAGAGGAUGACCAGCCACAAUGGAACUGAGACACGGUCCAUACUCC
rnacentral:rRNA from 1 species